GACGAACGCUGGCGGCGUGCCUAAUACAUGCAAGUAGAACGCUGAAGGAGGGAGCUUGCUUCUUCUGGAUGAGUUGCGAACGGGUGAGUAACGCGUAGGUAACCUGCCUGAUAGCGGGGGAUAACUAUUGGAAACGAUAGCUAAUACCGCAUAAGAGGUAAUAACACAUGUUAUUAGUUUAAAAGGGGCAAUUGCUCCACUAUCAGAUGGACCUGCGUUGUAUUAGCUAGUUGGUAAGGUAACGGCUUACCAAGGCGACGAUACAUAGCCGACCUGAGAGGGUGAUCGGCCACACUGGGACUGAGACACGGCCCAGACUCCUACGGGAGGCAGCAGUAGGGAAUCUUCGGCAAUGGGGGCAACCCUGACCGAGCAACGCCGCGUGAGUGAAGAAGGUUUUCGGAUCGUAAAGCUCUGUUGUAAGAGAAGAACGGAUGUGGGAGUGGAAAAUCCAUGUCGUGACGGUAUCUUACCAGAAAGGGACGGCUAACUACGUGCCAGCAGCCGCGGUAAUACGUAGGUCCCGAGCGUUGUCCGGAUUUAUUGGGCGUAAAGCGAGCGCAGGCGGUUUCAUAAGUCUGAAGUUAAAGGCAGUGGCUUAACCAUUGUACGCUUUGGAAACUGU
rnacentral:rRNA from 1 species